AAAACAAGAAAAUGUAACCCAUCAAUAAGAGGUAACGUUCAAAACGUUCAAUAAAAGCAGACAGGGAUGACCAAGGUGUUGGGAACAGACAGGGGCUAUAGAACUCGGAUAAAUAUGUUAAAUAGUCUAAAGGAAAAGGUGGAUGUUAUGUGAGAAUAGAGGAGGAAUUUGAGAAGAUAAGUGAAAAUAUAAAAAAGAACCUACAGAAAUGCUAAAAAGGAAAAAUGCAAUUCAUAAAUAAAGAAUUCAUUUAAUAGUUUUAACAGAAGAUUGGAUAUAGUAGAAGAAAUAAUCAGUGAACCUAAAGACAGGUCAGUAUGUCCAAACUGAAUUACAAUUAUCCAAACUGAAAAACAAAGAGGAAAAAAUUGAAAGUCUGAGAUAUGUAGGACAUUAGAAGUUUAACACAUCUGCAGCUGGAAUUCUAGGAGAGACAGUAUGGACAGAAUAAACGUUUGAAGAGGUAAUAGCUGAGAAUUUUCCAAACUUGGUGUAAGACAUCAACCUACAAAUCCAAAAGCUCAGUAAAGCUCAAGCAGGAUAGGUACAAAGAAAAACAUCUAUAGGUACAUAAGAGCCAAACUGCUGAAAAUUAAAAAUAAAGAAGAAAAAUCUUAAGAGCUGGCAGAGAAUGGGAAAAAGAUACAUUACAUAAGAGGAAAACAAUAAGGGCGACAGCUGAUGUCUCAUCAGUAACAACAGAAACAAGAAGAUGAAGGAACUGCAUCCUUAAAGUGCUGAAAGGGGGAAAAUGUCUAAUUAGACUUCUCCAUCCAGCAGAAAUAACCUUCAAAAAUGAAAUUGAAAUAAAGACAUUUACAGAUAGACAAAAGCUGAGGAAAUCAGUCUCUACCAGACCUGCGAGAAAUGCUAAAGUUCUUCUGGCUGAAGCCGAAAACAGAUAAAAGUGAGUUAAGGCAUUUUCUUUUCAUUUGUUUCUUGUGGGUUUUCCCCCUACUUACAACAUAGAUGGAAAAUGGCUUAACUUCCUAGAGAUUAAAAUAUAUAAAUAUGGGUCCUAGCACUGAGCUGAAAGAGAUGUCUGGCCAUGAGGAAAGUGGCUAGGUGGCACAGAGAGCCAUGCAGAGGGCAGCAGGGAAGCAAUAUGAGUUCCGAGAGUUCCAAGAGAAGCAGACAAAUCCAGCAGCAACCUGCAGCAGUGAGUGACUCGAGAGCAGAUGGGGCAAGCCCCUAUUCUCCCAAUAAGCAAGAGGUGCAUCCCCAGUCUCUAUUGUUAC
rnacentral:lncRNA from 1 species